rnacentral:rRNA from 1 species
CCUACGGGGGGCAGCAGUCGGGAAUAUUGCACAAUGGAGGAAACUCUGAUACAGUGACGCCGCGUGCAGGAAGAAGGUUUUCGGAUUGUAAACUGCUUUAGACAGGGAAGAAACAAGACAGUACCUGUAGAAUAAGAACCGGCUAACUACGUGCCAGCAGCCGCGGUAAUACGUAGGGAGCAAGCGUUAUCCGGAUUUAUUGGGUGUAAAGGGUGCGUAGACUGGAAUUUAAGUUAGUUGUGAAAUCCCUCGGCUUAACUGUGGAACUGCAACUAAAACUGAAUUUCUUGAGUGCGGGAGAGGAA